rnacentral:lncRNA from 1 species
CUUCCCACAUUGAGAUGCACUGAAGCCAUACCCCCUCCCCCAUUGAAAGUUUAAUUACAAUUCGUUAUCUCUUCAUUCCACUAGUUCUGUUUGUCUUUGUAUAGUGCUAAUUAUGAUGCUUGGUUAUUCUUACGUUUGAGGUGUUUCAGAUGAAUAGUGUUUUCCAGGCUUUUCACUAUGAACACUAAUCCCCAGGUUUUUCCUCAUGGUAAGUGUUUUGUAGCAGUCAGUAAUUGUCUCCCACACACCUCCAUUGUGUUUGGUCUCCUCAAAGACAGACAGCCCUCCCUGGGGGAGGACUGAUAAGGGUAUUAAACAUGAUUUUUACUCUAAUGGUAAUGCACUGUUUUACAUGCCUAGUUAAUUAUACUGAAGCUGUGGCUUAUGACCAUCUACUGUAUAGCAGACCACACACCCGGCGAGUCCAGUUCCUCUGGAAAACAUUCUAAUCCACGUCUGGAGGUGAAGUUGCUUAUUUUGUUCACCUGGCCUCAUCCCUUCCCAGUGUAUGUGGUUAAUUCCCCUGUUUAGAACAAUGGAGGCCGGGGAGACACUGCAGCCUUUUGUCUUAGUGCUCCCUCAGAGUAGAGGCCCUCUACCUCCCACACGUACAUCUGAAAUGACUGCAGAGGAUUAUGGUCAGGGGUAUUGGCAUCGACGCCUCCAUGUCCAAUGUAUGGCUGGUCGUAUUCUCACCCAGGCUGAGUGACAAGAACCCGGCGGUGAGGCAGACUGCAGUGACUGUUCUGACCCAGCUAGUGCUGAAGGUCAAAGAUCAGGUCAGCAAGGUGGCUGUACUGCUCAUCGACCCCCAGACACACAUCACCAGCCUCGCACUCAACUUCUUCAACGAAGCUCGCCUCCAAGGCAGCUGUUUUCCUACAUCACUAAGGAGAGACAGACUGAGUCUCUGGGGGAGAAGCUGUGUCUGCGCUUCAGCACAGCAAAACUGA